AUUGAACGCUGGCGGCAGGCCUAACACAUGCAAGUCGAGCGAGCGGCGGACGGGUAAGUACUGUCUGGGAAACUGCCUGAUGGAGGGGGAUAACUACUGGAAACGGUCGCUACUACCGCAUACCAUCAGAUGUUCCCAGAUGGGAUUAGCUAGUAGGUGGGGUAACGCCUCACCUAGGCGACGAUCCCUAGCUGGUCUGAGAGGAUGACCAACCACACGGGAACUGAGACACGGUCCAGACUCCUACGGGAGGCAGCAGUGGGGAAUAUUGCAUAAUGGGCGCAAGCCUGAUGCAGCCAUGCCGCGUGUGUGAAGAAGGCCUUCGGGUUGUAAAGCACUUUCAGCGGGGAGGCGUUACCCGCAGAAGAAGCACCGGCUAACUCCGUGCCAGCAGCCGCGGUAAUUC
rnacentral:rRNA from 1 species